rnacentral:rRNA from 1 species
AUUGAACGCUAGCGGCAGGCCUAACACAUGCAAGUCGAACGAGUGGCGGACGGGUGAGUGAUGUCUGGGAAACUGCCCGAUGGAGGGGGAUAACUACUGGAAACGGUAGCUAAUACCGCAUACCAUCGGAUGUUCCCAGAUGGGAUUAGCUAGUAGGUGGGGUAACGGCUCACCUAGGCGUCGAUCCCUAGCUGGGCUGAGAGUAUGACAAGCCACACGGGAACUGAGACACGGUCCAGACUCCUACGGGAGGAAGCAGUGGGGAAUAUUGCACAAGGGGCGCAAGCCUGAUGCAGCCAUGCCGCGUGGAUGAAGAAGGCCUUCGGGUUGUAAAGUACUUUCAGCGAGGAGGCGUUACUCGCAGAAGAAGCACCGGCUAACUCCGUGCCAGCAGCCGCGGUAAUUC